rnacentral:rRNA from 1 species
AAAAUGACUCUCGACAACGGAUAUCUCGGCUCUCGCAUCGAUGAAGAACGUAGCAAAAUGCGAUACUUGGUGUGAAUUGCAGAAUCCCGUGAACCAUCGAGUUUUUGAACCCAAGUUGCGCCUGAAGCUAUUAGGUUGAAGGCACGUCUGCCUGGGCGUCUCGC